ACCUUUUGUAUAAUGGGUCAGCGACUUAUAUUCUGUAGCAAGGUUAACCGAAUAGGGGAGCCGAAGGGAAACCGAGUCUUAACUGGGCGUUAAGUUGCAGGGUAUAGACCCGAAACCCGGUGAUCUAGCCAUGGGCAGGUUGAAGGUUGGGUAACACUAACUGGAGGACCGAACCGACUAAUGUUGAAAAAUUAGCGGAUGACUUGUGGCUGGGGGUGAAAGGCCAAUCAAACCGGGAGAUAGCUGGUUCUCCCCGAAAGCUAUUUAGGUAGCGCCUCGUGAAUUCAUCUCCGGGGGUAGAGCACUGUUUCGGCAAGGGGGUCAUCCCGACUUACCAACCCGAUGCAAACUGCGAAUACCGGAGAAUGUUAUCACGGGAGACACACGGCGGGUGCUAACGUCCGUCGUGAAGAGGGAAACAACCCAGACCGCCAGCUAAGGUCCCAAAGUCAUGGUUAAGUGGGAAACGAUGUGGGAAGGCCCAGACAGCCAGGAUGUUGGCUUAGAAGCAGCCAUCAUUUAAAGAAAGCGUAAUAGCUCACUGGUCGAGUCGGCCUGCGCGGAAGAUGUAACGGGGCUAAACCAUGCACCGAAGCUGCGGCAGCGACACUAUGUGUUGUUGGGUAGGGGAGCGUUCUGUAAGCCUGCGAAGGUGUGCUGUGAGGCAUGCUGGAGGUAUCAGAAGUGCGAAUGCUGACAUAAGUAACGAUAAAGCGGGUGAAAAGCCCGCUCGCCGGAAGACCAAGGGUUCCUGUCCAACGUUAAUCGGGGCAGGGUGAGUCGACCCCUAAGGCGAGGCCGAAAGGCGUAGUCGAUGGGAAACAGGUUAAUAUUCCUGUACUUGGUGUUACUGCGAAGGGGGGACGGAGAAGGCUAUGUUGGCCGGGCGACGGUUGUCCCGGUUUAAGCGUGUAGGCUGGUUUUCCAGGCAAAUCCGGAAAAUCAAGGCUGAGGCGUGAUGACGAGGCACUACGGUGCUGAAGCAACAAAUGCCCUGCUUCCAGGAAAAGCCUCUAAGCAUCAGGUAACAUCAAAUCGUACCCCAAACCGACACAGGUGGUCAGGUAGAGAAUACCAAGGCGCUUGAGAGAACUCGGGUGAAGGAACUAGGCAAAAUGGUGCCGUAACUUCGGGAGAAGGCACGCUGAUAUGUAGGUGAAGUCCCUCGCGGAUGGAGCUGAAAUCAGUCGAAGAUACCAGCUGGCUGCAACUGUUUAUUAAAAACACAGCACUGUGCAAACACGAAAGUGGACGUAUACGGUGUGACGCCUGCCCGGUGCCGGAAGGUUAAUUGAUGGGGUCAGCGCAAGCGAAGCUCUUGAUCGAAGCCCCGGUAAACGGCGGCCGUAACUAUAACGGUCCUAAGGUAGCGAAAUUCCUUGUCGGGUAAGUUCCGACCUGCACGAAUGGCGUAAUGAUGGCCAGGCUGUCUCCACCCGAGACUCAGUGAAAUUGAACUCGCUGUGAAGAUGCAGUGUACCCGCGGCAAGACGGAAAGACCCCGUGAACCUUUACUAUAGCUUGACACUGAACAUUGAGCCUUGAUGUGUAGGAUAGGUGGGAGGCUUUGAAGUGUGGACGCCAGUCUGCAUGGAGCCGACCUUGAAAUACCACCCUUUAAUGUUUGAUGUUCUAACGUUGACCCGUGAUCCGGGUUGCGGACAGUGUCUGGUGGGUAGUUUGACUGGGGCGGUCUCCUCCUAAAGAGUAACGGAGGAGCACGAAGGUUGGCUAAUCCUGGUCGGACAUCAGGAGGUUAGUGCAAUGGCAUAAGCCAGCUUGACUGCGAGCGUGACGGCGCGAGCAGGUGCGAAAGCAGGUCAUAGUGAUCCGGUGGUUCUGAAUGGAAGGGCCAUCGCUCAACGGAUAAAAGGUACUCCGGGGAUAACAGGCUGAUACCGCCCAAGAGUUCAUAUCGACGGCGGUGUUUGGCACCUCGAUGUCGGCUCAUCACAUCCUGGGGCUGAAGUAGGUCCCAAGGGUAUGGCUGUUCGCCAUUUAAAGUGGUACGCGAGCUGGGUUUAGAACGUCGUGAGACAGUUCGGUCCCUA
rnacentral:rRNA from 1 species